rnacentral:rRNA from 18 species
AAGUUCCUUGGAACAGGACAUCGCAGAGGGUGAGAAUCCCGUACGUGGUCGCUGGCCUUCGCCGUGUAAAGCCCCUUCGACGAGUCGAGUUGUUUGGGAAUGCAGCUCUAAAUGGGAGGUAAAUUUCUCCUAAAGCUAAAUACCGGCCAGAGACCGAUAGCGCACAAGUAGAGUGAUCGAAAGAUGAAAAGCACUUUGGAAAGAGAGUCAAACAGCACGUGAAAUUGUUAAAAGGGAAGCGCUUGCAGCCAGACUU